UGGGGAAUCUUGCAUAAUGGGGGCAACCCUGAUGCAGCGACGCCGCGUGAGCGAUGAAGCCCUUCGGGGCGUAAAGCUCUUUCGACCGGAACGAUAAUGACGGUACCGGGAGAAGAAGCUGCGGCUAACUACGUGCCAGCAGCCGCGGUAAUACGUAGGCAGCAAGCGUUGUUCGGAGUUACUGGGCGUAAAGAGUGCGUAGGCGGUUUUCUAAGUUCGGUGUGAAAUCUCCCGGCUUAACUGGGAGGGUGCGCCGAAGACUGGGAAGCUGGAGUGUGGGAAAGGCAGGCGGAAUUCCUGGUGUAGCGGUGAAAUGCGUAGAUAUCAGGAGGAACACCGGCGGUGUAGACGGCUUGCUAGACCAUAACUGACGCUGAGGCACGAAAGCGUGGGUAGCAAACA
rnacentral:rRNA from 1 species